UCUGGUGCCGAUAGCUGUGGGGAUCCACCCGUUCCCAUACCGAACACGGCAGUUAAGCCCACAUACGCCGAAAGUACUUGGCUGGAAACGGCCUGGGAGGAUAGGUAGGCGCCGGUU
rnacentral:rRNA from 1 species